rnacentral:rRNA from 1 species
AGCGAACGCUGGCGGCAGGCCUAACACAUGCAAGUCGAACGGACCCUUCGGGGUUCGUGGCGGACGGGUGAGUAACACGUGGGAACGUACCUUUUGGUUCGGAAUAGCUCUUGGAAACGGGAGGUAAUGCCGAAUGUGCCCUUAGGGGGAAAGAUUUAUCGCCAUUAGAGCGGCCCGCGUUGGAUUAGAUAGUUGGUGUGGUAAAGGCGCACCAAGUCUACGAUCCAUAGCUGGUCUGAGCGGAGGAUCAGCCACGCUGGGACUGAGAGACGGCCCAGACUCCUACGGGAGGCAGCAGUGGGGAAUCUGGCGCAAUGGUCGAAAGACUGACGCAGCCAUGCCGCGUGAAUGAUGAAGGUCUUAGGAUUGUAAAAUUCUGUUAGUAGGGACGAUAAUGACGGUACCUACAGAAAAAGCCCCGGCUAACUUCGUGCCAGCAGCCGCGGUAAUAC